rnacentral:rRNA from 1 species
CGGGACGGGUGAGUAAUGUCUGGGAAACUGCCUGAUGGAGGGGGAUAACUACUGGAAACGGUAGCUAAUACCGCAUAACGUCGCAAGACCAAAGAGGGGGACCUUCGGGCCUCUUGCCAUCGGAUGUGCCCAGAUGGGAUUAGCUAGUAGGUGGGGUAACGGCUCACCUAGGCGACGAUCCCUAGCUGGUCUGAGAGGAUGCCAGCCACACUGGAACUGAGACACGGUCCAG